AGAGUUUGAUCCUGGCUCAGGAUGAACGCUGGCGGCAUGCCUAAGACAUGCAAGUCGAACGAGAUGGCCCAGUGAAGGUUGAGUGCUUGCACAAGACUGAAUCUGGAUUCCCAUCUAGUGGCAGACGGGUGAGUAACACGUGGGUGACCUACCUUUUCGUUGGGGAUAACAGUUGGAAACGAUUGCUAAUACCGAAUAAAAUGUAAGAGUCAAUUUUACAUUGAAAGGAGCCUUUAAAGCUUCGCGAUUAGAUGGGCCUGCGGCGUAUUAACUAGUUGGUGAGGUAAUGGCUUACCAAGGUGACGAUGCGUAGCCGAACUGAGAGGUUGAUCGGCCACAUUGGGACUGAGACACGGCCCAAACUCCUACGGGAGACAGCAGUUAGGAAUAUUCGUCAAUGGAGGAAACUCUGAACGAGCAAUGCCGCGUGAGUGAUGAAGGUCUUAUAGAUUGUAAAACUCUGUUGUAUGGAAAAAACGACUAGGUUAGGAAAUGAACUUAGUGUGAUGGUACCAUACCAGAAAGCCCCGGCUAACUACGUGCCAGCAGCCGCGGUAAUACGUAGGGGGCGAGCGUUAUCCGGAUUUAUUGGGCGUAAAGCGUGUGUAGGCGGUUUAUUAAGUUUAAGAUUAAAGCCCGGGGCUCAACUCCGGUAAGUCUUAAAAACUGGUAGACUUGAGUACGGUAGAGGCAAACGGAAUUUCUAGUGUAGCGGUGAAAUGCGUAGAUAUUAGAAGGAACACCAGUGGCGAAAGCGGUUUGCUGGGUCGUUACUGACGCUGAGGCACGAAAGCGUGGGGAGCAAAUAGGAUUAGAUACCCUAGUAGUCCACGCCGUAAACGAUGAGAACUAGGUGUUGGGGGAAUAACUCAGUGCCGCAGUUAACGCAGUAAGUUCUCCGCCUGGGGAGUAUGCACGCAAGUGUGAAACUCAAAGGAAUUGACGGGGGCCCGCACAAGCGGUGGAGUAUGUGGUUUAAUUCGA
rnacentral:rRNA from 1 species